UCCCAUGUGGCUCAGUUGGUAGAGCAUGAUAUUUGCAACGCCAGGGUUGUGGGUUCGAUUCCCACGGGGGAC
rnacentral:tRNA from 1 species